rnacentral:lncRNA from 1 species
UUUUUUUUUUUUUCCCUUUUUUUUUUUUUUUCACCUGUGUUUGUAAAACUUGAUACCAUCAGCCAGGUAUCCAUGCCAGAGACCCAGGCCUUUGCCUUCACCCUCCCCCCUUCAUGGCCCCUUAAUGUCUUUACCACCAUAACGUGAAGAUCAUCUCUUCUAAAUGUGACCCACAUUCAUUCACUGUGUCCACACAAUAGCCACUACAUUUUGUGUUCAUCCUGAACCACACGCCACAUUUCAUACCUAUGGUUUUAGCUGCAAACUGAAAUACGUCCACUUAUUGCUAUCUAAAAUAUUUCUGACUCUUAGCAGGGUCAAAACACAGCUCCUGGUGAAUACUACUCCUAUAGUUCCUCAUGGUAGACAAUGUUUUCAUUCCUACUUCUAAAACCAAAAACUAUCUCUGAAUCUUGUUUCACACCCUCAGCCUUCACAUCAGAAAAUCUAGUUGCCCCAUUAAUAACACAAGUACAGAAUCCAACCACAUCUAAGCUAUGACUCUGGUUUAUUAACAUUCAGCUGGACUUUGGCAGCAGCCUCCACCCUGAUCUUCCUUCUUCCUCCUCAAGCCCAGUUUUUGCCUACUUUGCACCCAGAUAGAGCUUGUUACGACCUUGGUAAGAUCCCUCCCUCUUCUGAUACAAAUUUCCCAUUACCUCCAGAGUAGACACUCAAAUUUUCAGGCAGCCAUUGCAGUCCUGACUCCUAACCCCCUACUCCUUGUUACCACCUGAAAGACAGACUUGUAGUUUCCUGAACAUUCUGAACAUUACAUUAUUACCUCAAAGAAUUUCCACAUCCUGGUAUCAAUUCUAGGGAUAACCUUCCACCCCUGUUUACAGUGACUGCCAGAAACCCCUGGCAUAGACUUAGAACCCUACGUUUGGGAUCCCUAGACCCAAGGAUUGAAUGAAUAGCACUAAGCCCCACCGCACCACAAUCCAUAUAACUUGUGGUUCGAGGUGAGGGACUGAGAAACCCUCCACUUCCCUGUGGGCGUACAGCUGCUUUUGCAGGUAGGAGAUGUGGAAAGAGGACAGCCUUAGAGGAAUUAGUCCGUGGCAGGGCUUGACGGACUCCGGUCUCCCUAUACCCCUGCCUGGCCCUGAUAUGGAGACAGGUGACUUCAGGCUAGCUGCUCAACCUCAGGGGACAGAACCGCCCCUAACCAAGCUCCCCUCCCCUGCAGCCCGCUCCCGCCCACCAGCGCCUCCCUCUCCGGGGCACCCGGGCAAGAGCCGCAGGGGCUGCAGAGACGCCCCGCGCUUGGGCCUUGAGGGUCUGGGAGGGGGACGGCGGGGAGGGGAGGGGGGACGGCGGGGAGGGGAGGGGGGACGGCGAGGAGGGGAGGGCGGACGGCGGGGAGGGGAGGGCGGACGGCGGGGAGGGGAAGGUGGACGGCGGCGCGGGGAGGGCCCGGGGGACCAGCGUUUACCUGCGCGGGGGUCCUGGGAGCGGCCACCGCUAUCGGACUUGUUGGGCAGAGCGGACACCCGGGCUGGGGGGUCCCUGUCCCGGCCCCCGUGAGGCGCAGCCCGGGCGGCGUCGCCAAGCCGUGGACCCCUGUCUGUGCGACGGGGACAGCGCCUCCCCUCGCACCUUCUCAGUGUCGUCACCUUGGUCCCCACCCAGCGUUCCGGAUCCCCGACUAGGCUGACAGCACUUCAGUGAAGCCAAAAUGAUUGACUACUAGAAACACACCGGAAGUCCAGCGCUGGCGUUUUACCUCU